UUAAUUGUUAAAAUUCUAGUUCUUCAGAGGAUUUGAGGUACUCUGUUCACACUCAAUCAUUCGGCUUUUUUUCCUGAGAACAUGGAAACAAAGGUACAGGAGUUUAGAGGUACAUAGAUCAAGUGAAUAUUUUCAUAUCUGGUUUUAAGUAUCUAUGUCCUGUUAACUUCUAAGAUAAAUGGCAAAAUAAAGUGAAGUUUUCAAGUUGAGAUUCUUACAUGCUGAAGUUUGCAUUCAAAAGGAUAAUUUUAAUUUACUAAGGCAGUGUGAUAAUGUGAUGUUUUACAUUUUAAAAUUAAA
rnacentral:lncRNA from 1 species